rnacentral:sRNA from 1 species
CAGCAGCAGCAACAUCAGCUGCAGCAGCAGCAACAUCAGCAGCAGCAGCAGGCGCUGCUGUGGCCCCUAUUGUCUGCCCCGAAGAAAGCACGGGUGCUGCUUCAACAGCUGCAGCAGCAGAAGUUGCUGCACUUGCUGCUGCAUCUGCUGCUGCAGCAUCUGCUGCUGCAGCAUCUGCUGCUGCAGCUUCUGCUGCCGCUGCUGCAUCUGCUGCUGCUGCAUCUGCUGCUGCUGCAUCUGCUGCUGCAGCAUCUGCUGCUGCUGCAUCUGCUGCUGCUGCACCUGCUACUGCUGCAUCUGCUGCUGCUGCAUCUU